CAGGGCCAUCUUGGUUCCGACUGGGUGGCUGUACCACUAAACGCAGUGGAGACCAAAUUGGAUGUCUCAAGUGGGGCAGGGCCAGGUGAAAAUUGGUCGGCUCUGAGAGGGAAAUGGAGUUUCCCCACCACCUGUAGGCAGGCUGGCUCUGGCCACAGUGCUCCCCCUCUUCCCUUCGUCCCUUUUCUCCUGGCACCUGGUAGACCAAGAUGCCUCUCGGGAGCCGGAAUCCUGGGGGGAGUGCCAGCUUUCUCAAGCCCUUGGCCAAGCCCUGUUUGCCAGUUUGUUUCUAGCUCUGGAGGAGUUAGCCCACAGGCCUUCCGUUCCUGCCUUGUGACCCAGAAUGACUCCCGAGAGCGUUGGAGGGUAGGGCAAGGAGGCUGAAGUCAUAACCUCGUGGGGUGUGUUCUCCAGGAGCCACCCACCCGGGUGCUUCCUCCCUGGCUUCUGGGCCAGUGUCCUAAGUCUCUGCUCACUGGUCAGACCUUCCUCUCUUUUCUGCAGGAUGACCACUGUCGUCUCAAAGUCCCUCCUCACUUCCUCCCACUGAUGACUUCUCCAGCCCAUCGUCCGUAUCAUAGGGAAGGGAUACUUCACGAGUUUCAAGGUUGUAGUUUUAAUAGCAGUACCGAUGUUACUGAAUAUAUAGUAUCCGUCAGGCACUCUAGCAGGAAAUCCUGUGCGGUGACCAGCGACCGCUGUCCCCACUCUGAGGAGAGCUGAGCCUUAGGUCGUGCCCAAGAGCACAGCACACACCUUAUACUCACUACACCUGUGAUAUUCCCGGCGAUAGGGCCUGACCAUGCACAGUUAUCUCUGCCUCUCUGCCAGCUAGCUAGCAAAGGACCUGGCGUAUAGUAAGCAUGAAGUAAGAAAAAACCCCAAAACUUGUUAAAUGCAUAACUAUAUCAGAGAUGGCUUCUGAAGCACAGAAACUCAGCCCGGCUGAUACACAGGCUCUCCUGGAUCCUUUUUUCUAUUUACUCAGGGGGAGGUAUAAUAUCUAAAAUGGGGGCUGUUGGCUCCUACUGUGUGGAUGGUAUUGGUUUUGCUUCAUGCAGAAUCCGUUGACUGAUUGGCCUUUCACCUCGCGCUCCCAGAGUUUUUAUGGGCGACGGCCACGGAAGAUCGCUUCCUGUUUUGUGUAAGCUGCUCUUGAGGAUUUCCUGUAUUAUUUCAUUCCCCAUCCUUGUCGUCAUCUGGUGCUGCCUGGCAAGUCACCCGGAACGUGGUGGCCUGGUCCCUGGGGCUGUGUUCCGAGAGGGCAAGUCCGCUUACAAGCCCCGCCUUGCCUGGUGGUCCCAGGCUUCCGAUUGGCCAGAGGAGGUCACGUGGCCAAGCCUAGCGUCCGCGAGGGGAGGGCCCUUUUACUCCAGCGCCCGUGGAGGGAGGAGCCGAGAAACGUGACCCUGUUUAAUCCACUGCAAUCAAUCCGUUACUUUCGGGACAAAUUGCGGAUUUUCCACCAGAAAUUCAGUCUCUCUUGAGGUACUUAUGACUUCACUUGGGAGCCAAAAACGCAGUUAGUUGCAGCAUACAUAGCCUUCGGACUCUGGUCUGAAUUGAGAUUCCGACUUGAUCACGUACCAUUUUGUCUUUGGCGGGUUACUUGCAUCCAUAUAUUCUGGCUAAUGACGGAGUCUCAUUAUAUCCUAAUUCUCGUUCCCCUUACUCCUCUUUUACUUCUCUCCCUGGGAAGCUCAGAAUUAAAAUUCAGGGCGACCACA